rnacentral:lncRNA from 1 species
AGGAUUUUUGUGGCGCCUUCUUUCUUCCACUAUGGCAGUCCACCAAUACAUGGCAUACCCUUGAAAGCUUAGGGUAGCUAAAGGAACCUUCCUUUCUUCACUAACUUGGUGACAAGCAAAAAGUUGUUCCACUUUCAUUUCCCAAUCUAAGAAGGCCUCUACAUCAUCCUUUCCAUGGAAAUGAGGCAAGUUAAUGUUGACUUCUCUAGGGGGAGGUGGUUCUUGCAUUUCCCAUGGUGGGAAUCUCCACUCCUACUUCCCCG